AGAGUUUGAUCAUGGCUCAGGACGAACGCUGGCGGCGCGCUUAACACAUGCAAGUCGAACGGUGAACCGGGCUUCGGCCCGGGGAUCAGUGGCGAACGGGUGCGUAACACGUGGGCAACCUGCCCCUCACUCUGGGAUAACCCCGGGAAACCGGAGCUAAUACCGGAUACUCCGCGCGAGCCGCAUGGCUCGAACGGGAAAGGUCCGCCGGUGAGGGAUGGGCCUGCGGCCUAUCAGCUUGUUGGUGAGGUAACGGCCCACCAAGGCUUCGACGGGUAGCUGGUCUGAGAGGACGACCAGCCACACUGGGACUGAGAUACGGCCCAGACUCCUACGGGAGGCAGCAGUGGGGAAUCUUGCGCAAUGGGCGAAAGCCUGACGCAGCGACGCCGCGUGGGGGAUGACGGCCCUCGGGUUGUAAACCCCUUUCGGCAGGGACGAAGCGAUCGUGACGGUACCUGCAGAAGAAGCUCGGCUAACUACUGCCAGCAGCCGCGGUA
rnacentral:rRNA from 1 species